ACUCCUACGGGAGGCAGCAGUGGGGAAUAUUGCACAAUGGGCGCAAGCCUGAUGCAGCAACGCCGCGUGAGCGAUGAAGGCCUUCGGGUCGUAAAGCUCUGUCCUCAAGGAAGAAUAAAUGACGGUACUUGAGGAGGAAGCCCCGGCUAACUACGUGCCAGCAGCCGCGGUAAUACGUAGGGGCAAGCGUUAUCCGGAAUCACUGGGCGUAAAGGGUGCGUAGGCGGUUUUUCAAGUCAGAAGUGAAAGGCUAUGGCUCAACCAUAGUAAGCUUUUGAAACUGUUAAAACUUGAGUGCAGGAGAGGAAAGUGGAAUUCCUAGUGUAGAGGUGAAAUUCGUAGAUAUUAGGAGGAACACCAGUGGCGAAGGCGACUUUCUGGACUGUAACUGACGCUGAGGCACGAAAGCGUGGGAGCGAACAGGAUUAGAUACCCUGGUAGCACAGAG
rnacentral:rRNA from 1 species